rnacentral:rRNA from 1 species
GACAGAGGUCCCGAGCGUUGUUCGGAUUCCUUGGGCGUAAAGGGUGUGUAGGAGGUUGGGUAAGUCAGGUGUGAAAUCUCAGAGCUUAACUCUGAAACUGCGCUUGAUACUGCCCGGCUAGAGGAUCGGAGGGGGUAACGGAAUUUAUGGUGUAGCAGUGAAAUGCGUAGAUAUCAUAAGGAACACCGGUGGCGAAGGCGGUUACCUGGAAGAUUCCUGACUCUGAAACACGAAAGCCAGGGGAGCAAACGGG